UACGUAGGUCGCAAGCGUUGUCCGGAUUUACUGGGCGUAAAGCGCGCGCAGGCGGACUGAUCAGUCCGGGGUGAAAUCUCACGGCUCAACUGUGAGCGGUCCCCGGAUACUGUCAGCCUUGAGGGGUCUAGAGGAGAGCGGAAUUCCCGGUGUAGUGGUGGAAUGCGUAGAUAUCGGGAAGAACACCAGUGGCGAAAGCGGCUCUCUGGGGACCAUCUGACGCUGAGGCGCGAAAGCGUGGGGAGCGAACCGGAUUAGAUACCCGGGUAGUCCACGCCGUAAACGAUGAGAACUAGCUGUCGGGGGUAUCGACCCCUCCGGUAGCGAAGCUAACGCGAUAAGUUCUCCGCCUGGGGACUACGGCCGCAAGGCUA
rnacentral:rRNA from 1 species